GUGUCAGCAGCCGCGGUAAGACAGAGGUGCCAAGCGUUAGGCGGAAUCACUGGGCUUAAAGCGUGUGUAGGCGGAAUGGUAAGUACCUUGUGAAAUCCCACGGCUCAACCGUGGAACUGCUUGGUAUACUGCUUUUCUUGAGCCACUUAGGGGCAACCGGAACAAACGGUGGAGCGGUGAAAUGCGUAGAUAUCGUUUGGAACGCCAAUGGUGAAAACAGGUUGCUGGGAGUGUGCUGACGCUGAGACACGAAAGCCAGGGGAGCAAACGGGAUUAGAAACCCGGGUAGUCC
rnacentral:rRNA from 1 species